rnacentral:rRNA from 1 species
GGGGUAACAGGGGAGCUUGCUCCCGCUGACGACCGGCGCACGGGUGCGGAACGCGUAUGGAACCUACCUCAAUCAGGGGGAUAGCCCAGGGAAACUUGGAUUAAUACCCCAUAGUAUUGUUUUAUUGCAUGAUAGAACAAUUAAAACUUCGGUGGAUUGAGAUGGCCAUGCGUAUCAUUAGCUAGUUGGUAAGGUAACGGCUUACCAAGGCAACGAUGAUUAGGGGCCCUGAGAGGGGGAUCCCCCACACUGGUACUGAGACACGGACCAGACUCCUACGGGAGGCAGCAGUGAGGAAUAUUGGACAAUGGUCGCAAGACUGAUCCAGCCAUGCCGCGUGCAGGAUGACUGCCCUAUGGGUUGUAAACUGCUUUUGUACGAGAAGAACACCCUCUUCGUGAAGAGGACUGACGGUAUCGUACGAAUAAGGACCGGCUAACUCCGUGCCAGCAGCCGCGGUAAUACGGAGGGUCCGAGCGUUAUCCGGAAUCAUUGGGUUUAAAGGGUCCGUAGGCGGGCUAUUAAGUCAGAGGUGAAAUUGUGCAGCUCAACUGUAGAACUGCCUUUGAUACUGAUAGUCUUGAGUUAUGGUGAGGUAGCCGGAACAUGUGGUGUAGCGGUGAAAUGCAUAGAUAUCACAUAGAACGCCGAUUGCGAAGGCAGGUUACCAACCAUAUACUGACGCUGAUGGACGAAAGCGUGGGGAGCGAACGGGAUUAGAUACCCCGGUAGUCCACGCCGUAAACGAUGGAUACUAGCUGUUGGGUUUUCGGACUCAGCGGCCAAGCGAAAGUGAUAAGUAUCCCACCUGGGGAGUACGUUCGCAAGAAUGAAACUCAAAGGAAUUGACGGGGGCCCGCACAAGCGGUGGAGCAUGUGGUUUAAUUUC